rnacentral:tRNA from 1 species
GCCUAGUUAGCUCAGUUGGUAGUGCGUCUGCUGCCUCGUAAGCGCUAGGCCGCGGGUUCGAUUCCCGCCCGGGGCG